AUACGGAGGGUGCAAGCGUUACUCGGAAUCACUGGGCGUAAAGCGCGCGCAGGCGGCUAUUUAAGUUGGAUGUGAAAGCCUACGGCUCAACCGUAGAACUGCAUCCAAAACUAUUUAGCUAGAGUGUGGGAGAGGAAGAUGGAAUUAGUUGUGUAGGGGUAAAAUCCGUAGAGAUAACUAGGAAUACCAAAAGCGAAGGCAAUCGUCUGGAACACUACUGACGCUGAGGCGCGAAAGCGUGGGGAGCAAACGGGAUUAGAAACCCUUGUAGUCC
rnacentral:rRNA from 1 species